UAACAAGGAUUCCCUUAGUAACGGCGAGUGAAGCGGGAAUAGCUCAAAUUUGAAAGCUGGCAGCAAUGUCCGCGUUGUAAUCUCGAGAAGUGUUUUCCGUGCUGGACCAUAGAUAUGUUCCUUGGAAUAGGAUGUCAAAGAGGGUGAGAAUCCCGUACAUGCUAUGGACGCCCAGUGCUUUGUGAUACACUUUCGAAGAGUCGAGUUGUUUGGGAAUGCAGCUCAAAAUGGGUGGUAAAUUCCAUCUAAAGCUAAAUAUUGGGGAGAGACCGAUAGCAAACAAGUACCGUGAGGGAAAGAUGAAAAGCACUUUGGAAAGAGAGUUAAACAGUACGUGAAAUUGUCAAAAGGGAAGCGCUUCAAGUCAGAUAUGGCUUUAAAUGUUCAGCCUUUCGGUGUAUUCAUUUUUUGUCAGGCCAGCAUCGAUUUUGAACGUCGGAUAAGGGUAGAAGGAAUGUAGCAUACUUUCGGGUAUGUGUUAUAGCCUUUUACUGGAUACGACGAUCGGGAUCGAGGUUCGCAGCACACCCUUUUUGGGCAGGUCUUCGGACACUUUUGUGCUUAGGAUGCUGGCGUAAUGGCUUGAAGCGACCCGUCUUGA
rnacentral:rRNA from 1 species